GGGCGGCUGAGGCUGAGCGCUGGUCCGGAGCAGGUGCCGGGUGCGGGCCGCGGUGUGCGGGACGGGAGCCUGGCGCGAGCGGCGGCGGGAGGGGAAAGCGCAUUUGUAACGCGGGCGACGAUGUGCCCGAAAUCCCCGGACGGUGGGUCUGCAUCGAGACGCCGAGCUCUGGAGCUGGAAAAACCCGGAUGCCAUACUGCUGUUAACACAUGUGACACUGGAGACUUUGUCCCUACCUCAUAGAAUCCCAGCAUGAUGAUACGUGAAGGGUUUUCCGUGGUUAUCUACUUCUGAUUCUUUUGAAAGCUUUAAAGACAUUGGGCAUGAAAGCUUCAGUGAGUUUCCGGGGAUCCCUCGUUUGUGGCAGAGCCAGGAGGAAAACAGUUCCGUUCAUUCUUUCACAGCUGAGGCUUUACAGUUCUCUAUACUCUCCCAAGAUCCACAGAAAAUGAACACAUUUCAGGCAUCGGUGUCAUUCCAGGACGUGACUGUGGAAUUCAGCCAGGAGGAGUGGCAGCACAUGGGCCCUGUUGAGAGGACCCUGUACAGAGAUGUGAUG
rnacentral:sRNA from 1 species